AUCGCUUCUCGGCCUUUUGGCUAAGAUCAAAGUGUAGUAUCUGUUCUUAUCAGCUUAAUAUCUGAUACGGGUUCAAAUGAACCCCAGAAUAUUAAACUGAUUUUUGAGGAAUUCGGUGGGAAAUCAAUGCUUGCAUUGAUCCUGCCACGGGUUGACCCGGUAUUGCAGUACCUCCGGGCUCGGCUCACCCCUU